CGCUGAAUUGGCCGCUGGGAACGUCCGGGACUGGUGCCAACUUCUGUGCACCCAAGUGGCCUCCGUGUGUCCCCUUCGAGGAAGCUGGGCGAAUGGGGCCAGCAAUGCCAAACCUGUUUGCCAGAGUGGUAAGGGCGGAAGGCAUCACUGG
rnacentral:ribozyme from 15 species